rnacentral:rRNA from 1 species
GCUCAGGAUGAACGCUAGCUACAGGCUUAACACAUGCAAGUCGAGGGGUAGCAGGGUAGCAAUACCGCUGACGACCGGCGCACGGGUGAGUAACACGUAUCCAACCUUCCCAUAACUCGGGGAUAGCCUUUCGAAAGAAAGAUUAAUACCCGAUAGUACUUUAUUAAGGCAUCUUAAGAAAGUUAAAGAUUUAUUGGUUAUGGAUGGGGAUGCGUUCCAUUAGAUAGUUGGUGAGGUAACGGCUCACCAAGUCUUCGAUGGAUAGGGGUUCUGAGAGGAAGGUCCCCCACAUUGGUACUGAGACACGGACCAAACUCCUACGGGAGGCAGCAGCGAGGAAUAU